GUGAAUUGAGAGCUGGUGGAAUGGAUGGAAACGACAACAACCCCAUGGCCGGAAACGGUGAGGCGAUGGCCAAACCCCCCGAUCGAUGUGUAGUCAGAGCGCCGACGGUGACAUCGUCCGAAGUGUGGCCAGAGAUGGUGAAGUUCGGGUUCCAACUUGGGAGAUUUGAUUUGGGGGCUUAGGGUUCGUUUUGGGAGAAAAUGGCACAGUUUUGUAUUGCUUUUGA
rnacentral:lncRNA from 1 species